GAUACAAUACGAGAAAUAAAACGAACGGACCCAUCUCCCCCGCAAAACUUUCUUUUUCUUUUCACUGAGAAACAAAAAGAGAGAAACAGAAGCGACGAUAAAUCCAUCCAAACUCUCGUUUCGUUCAUUCUUGCAUUCUUCUGCGAAAGCGCUGCUGAGCGAUUUUGUGGCGUAAAGCUCAAGGCAAAUCGUGACGUUACGUUAGGCUCUGCCGAAUGAGAAUUUGUGGUUCUCGAAUCCAUCGCGUGGGAUAGGGUUAGUGAAGCCUGAAUCUGAAGCUUCGCGGACGUUGGCUAUGCUCCGCAAAUUGUUCUUCCGCAAGCCUCCAGAUGGCCUCCUCGAGAUCUGCGAGAGAGUUCACGUUUUUGAUUGCUGCUUCACCACGGAUACAUGGAAAGAAGGGAAUUACAAUUACAAAGAUUACAUGGACGGGAUAGUUGGUCGACUUAAGGAGAACUUGCCUGAUGCUUCGAUUCUUAUUUUCAAUUUUCGCGAGGAAGGUACCAAGACUCAGAUGGGAAGUAUCAUGUCUGAGCAUGACAUUACUAUCAUGGACUAUCCUCUGCACUACCAAGGUGUUCCCGUGCUAAAAAUGGAGCUCAUCCACCACUUUCUGAGGUCUGGUGAAAGCUGGCUCUCGCUUGGGCAAGACAAUAUGUUGCUGAUGCAUUGUGAACCUGGUGGUUGGCCUGUUUUGGCUUUCAUGUUGGCUGCAUUGUUGAUUUAUAGAAAGGCUUAUACUGGGGAGCAGAGGACUCUCGAUAUGGUUUACAGGCAGGCUCCUCACGAGCUUUUGCAUUUGUUGUCACCGUUGAAUCCUAUCCCUUCCCAACUGAGGUAUCUGCUGUAUAUUUCCAGGAGGAAUGUGGCCUUAGAUUGGCCUCCUCUGGACAGGGCACUUAUGUUGGACUGCAUCAUUCUCAGACUCUUCCCAAACUUUGACAGUGAAGGUGGUUGUCAUCCUGUGUUUAGAAUUUAUGGACAGGAUCCCUUUAAUGCUGAUAAAUUUCCCAAAAUGUUGUACUCAACGCCCAAGAGAAGCAAAAAUGUUCGGGCCUUUAAGCAGGGAGAGUGUGAACUUAUUAAAAUUGAUAUCAACUGCCAUAUUCAAGGUGACGUUGUCAUUGAGACUAUUAACUUUAAUGGUGACAUGGAGAGUGAAAGGAUGAUGUUUCGAAUCAUGUUUAACACAGCCUUUGUUAGAUCUAAUAUUUUGAUGCUUAACCGGGAUGAAAUUGACAUUUUAUGGGAUGCUAAAGAUCACUUUCCAAACGAUUUUAGAGUUGAGAUCCUUUUCUCAGAGAUGGAUGCUGCAAUUGUUGUUGCCGAUAGGACCUCAUGCUUUGAGGAGAAGGAUGGACUGCCAAUGGAAGCAUUUGCCAAGGUUCAAGAGAUCUUUAGCCAUGUAGACUGGAUGAACCCCAAGGCAGAUGUUGCCCUAAAUGCUCUCCAACUUAUAAGUGAUUCGACUAUGAAUGAUAGCUUAGAUGAAAAAGGUCCUAGAACGCCUCAAGGGAAUUUGAAUGAAGAGGUACGGUCUUCAUUCUCAACCAAGACAUCCCGUAUGAGUAGAAAAGAGGAGAAGACCAACAAGUUCGAGGGUAUUCCGCAGCAACAUAGUAUACCUAACAAUAUUUGUCAAGAUUCAGUCAGAACUUCUAAAAGGACCUCGGAAUCCAAUAAAUGUCCAACAAGACCUACAAAUCUUGACAUAAAACUGCAAGCACCUCAUCCUGCCAUAUUUUCUACCGAUACUUCGUUUUCCCCUCGAACACCUCCUUUGAGGCCUCAAUCCACUAGUGAUAAAGAAGCUCAUGAUUCUCCUUGCCAAACAAAAUCUCCCCCUUCUUAUUAUGUUGUGCCUUUGCAAUCAAGACACCAAUCACAAGACAGAAGUCAUUCAUCUAUUUCUGUCCCUACACCUGACACCCAAUUGUCAUCUACUUUUCAUAGCAAGUUACUGGCUGACAUCAUUUCCUGUCCUUCAGCUCCAACACUUACUUCAACCCAAUCAUCUCCUUCACUUUCUUCCAAAAAUGUGGAUGAGAUUCCUCCUAUUAAAACAAGAAUAGAGUCUUCCCCUCCACGACCUCCAACUCCGCCUCCUCCUCCCACUCCUCCAGUAAAUGAUCAUAGACUAGUUCGAGCUAGACCACCUCCACCACCUCCUCCACCACCUCCUCUUCCUCCAAAGAAAGAACUGCAUGUUAAAGCUGCACCCCAUCCUUCUCCUUUAUCACAUAUGAAUGUGGCGCCACAGGUUAGAGAUGGACCCUCUCCUCCCCUUUCUCUAAAAGAGGAGCAACCUACUAGGUUUAAACCUCCUUGUCUCUCUGGGGAAGUUGCAGGUUUUACUAUAGUACCACCUCCACCUCCACCUCCACUUUCAAGUGAAGUACUUUACUCAAAUCACACUAAUUCAUCAUUGCAAAAAUCUCUAGCUCCUCCCUCUCCUCCUGAGGCACCUGCGCCUCCCCCUCCUCCUCCCCCUCCUCCUGGUGCACCUGCUCCUCCCCCUCCUCCUGGUGCGCCUGCUCCUCCCCCUCCUCCUGGUGCGCCUGCUCCUCCCCCUCCUCCUGGUGCACCUGCUCCUCCACCUCCACCUGGAGCACCUGCUGCUCCACCUCCUCCAAUGCCCUUUGGUAAAGGAGGUCUAAAAUCAGGCAGUUCAUUUUCAGGAUCUCUUUCUGUGAACGCUCGAUCUAGUUCAGCAACUAACUUAAAGGGAAUUUUAUCGCGAACAAUUACCUCAAAGAAUAACACUAAAAGGUUGAAGCCUUUGCAUUGGUUGAAACUAUCUAGAGCAGUGCAAGGAAGUUUGUGGGCAGAGUCACCGAAGUCUGGUGAAGCUUCCAAGGCCCCAGAAAUUGAUAUGUCAGAGCUUGAGAAUCUCUUCUCAGCAGCAGUCCCAACUUCAGGUAUUGCCAAAAAGUCAAAUGUCCAAAGCUCAGCUGGGCCUAAAUCUGAAAAAGUGCAACUGAUUGAGCAUAGGCGAGCAUAUAACUGUGAAAUCAUGCUUUCCCAAGUGAAAGUGCCUUUGCAUGAUUUAAUGACCUCAGUGCUAGCACUGGAAGAGUCAGCACUGGACUCUGAUCAGGUUGAGAACCUCAUAAAGUUCUGUCCAACAAAAGAGGAAAUGGAAUUGCUCAAGGGUUAUAACGGGGAUAGGGAGAAGUUAGGAAGAUGUGAACAGUUCUUAAUGGAAUUGAUGAAAGUACCACGAGUGGAAUCCAAGCUCAGAGUUUUUUCAUUCAAGAUUCAAUUUCGCUCUCAGGUUUCUGACCUAAGAAAGAGCCUGCUUGUUGUGAAUGCUGCUUCAGAAGAGAUCAGGAAUUCGGUCAAACUAAAGAGAAUUAUGCAUACAAUACUUUCUUUAGGAAAUGCUUUGAACCAAGGAACAGCCAGGGGUUCUGCUAUUGGAUUCAGAUUGGACAGCCUUCUUAAACUAACCGAGACACGGGCACGGGACAAAAAGAUGACUCUUAUGCAUUAUCUUUGUAAGGUGCUUGUUGACAAACUACCGGAUGUCUUAGACUUCUCCAACGAUCUUUCUGACCUAGAGCCAGCAGCAAAGAUCCAAUUGAAGUUUUUGGCUGAGGAGAUGCAAGCUAUAAACAAAGGAUUAGAAAAAGUAGUACAGGAACUCUCAACUGCUGAAUGUGAUGGGCCUAUAUCAGAAACUUUUCGCAAGAAACUGAAAGAGUUCCUCGGUUCUGCUGAAGCUGAAGUCCGCUCAAUUGCUUCACUAUAUUCUACCGUGGGUAGGAACGUGGAUGCAUUGAUUCUCUAUUUUGGUGAAGAUCCAUCUCGUUGCCCAUUUGAGCAAGUCGCGUCAACUUUGCUCAACUUUACCAGGAUGUUCAACAAAGCCCAUGAAGAAAACUGCAAGCAGCUAGAACUUGAAAUGAAGAAAACUGAAAAUGAGAAAAAGAAAUGUGAAUCAGAAAGAAUUUUACCUACACCUAUCCGGACUGGCAAUGUCAAAUAGACUCUACUAGCUUUGGGAAUCAGUAUAUACUCUAACUUGACAAGGAAUUUGACUGGACAAAACCAGGUGUGGUGUAUGGUGUUUUUGAGGAGCGUGUAUAGUGAGUGGACACAAGUAGUAGUAGCUGACAUUGAUAACCAAAACGAAGAGGAUUGCAUUGCACUACGAUGUUAGCAGAAAUGGUGUAGUUUGCACGAGUUUUGUUAUUAACCAGCCAACAUGUAUAUAUCUUCCUCUUCCCUCUUCAACGGAAACUGUAUGAUUCUAUCUUGAGGCCCCAAAAACAAGGGAAAACUCUUACUCCGUAUUAUGGAAUGCGUAGUGCCCCCAUAACACUAUGCUUUAGUUGGAGAUCGUUAUGGCUUGCACGAUCAAGGUCGCAUAUAUUUAAUACAAGAGUCUGAAACAGCCUGAAAUAUUCAGUUGAGAUAGUCCUUUUUUGUUACUUACAUUUUUUUAAAUCAUAGUAUCAUGUAAAUGCGCAGAUUAAAUAUUUGUUGAAAUGCGUGUAGUUUGAAGUUGAGUUUGAUAGAGAAAUAAGGCUGGUAGAAAUUUAAACCAACCUUUGGGGUCGUAGAUAUUUUGUGUAGUAUUUCGAAAGUUUUAAAAGCCAACAACAGGUCUCUCACUAGAAAAA